rnacentral:rRNA from 1 species
CAGCAGUAGCCACGGUAAUACGUAGGGGGCAAGCGUUGUCCGGAAUCAUUGGGCGUAAAGCGCGUGUAGGCGGCUCGAUAAGUCUGCUGUGAGAGUCCAGGGCUCAACCCUGGAAUGCCGGUGGAAACUGUCGAGCUCGAGUCCGGAAGAGGCAAGUGGAAUUCCUGGUGUAGCGGUGAAAUGCGCAGAUAUCAGGAGGAACACCAAUGGCGAAGGCAGCUUGCUGGGACGGUACUGACGCUGAGACGCGAAAGCGUGGGGAGCAAACAGGAUUAGAUACCCCCGUAGUCCCUGUCUCUUAUAC